rnacentral:rRNA from 1 species
GUCGGAAUUACUGGGCGUAAGCGUGUGUAGGCGGUUCGGAAAGAAAGAUGUGAAAUCCCAGGGCUCAACCUUGGAACUGCAUUUUUAACUGCCGAGCUAGAGUAUGUCAGAGGGGGGUAGAAUUCCACGUGUAGCAGUGAAAUGCGUAGAUAUGUGGAGGAAUACCGAUGGCGAAGGCAGCCCCCUGGGAUAAUACUGACGCUCAGACACGAAAGCGUGGGGAGCAAACAGGAUUAGAUACCCUGGUAGUCCACGCCCUAAACGAUGUCAACUAGCUGUUGGGGCCGUUAGGCCUUAGUAGCGCAGCUAACGCGUGAAGUUGACCGCCUGGGGAGUACGGUCGCAAGAUUAAAACUCAAAGGAAUUGACGGGGACCCGCACAAGCGGUGGAUGAUGUGGAUUAAUUCGAUGCAACGCGAAAAACCUUACCUACCCUUGACAUGUCUGGAAAGCCGAAGAGAUUUGGCCGUGCUCGCAAGAGAACCGGAACACAGGUGCUGCAUGGCUGUCGUCAGCUCGUGUCGUGAGAUGUUGGGUUAAGUCCCGCAACGAGCGCAACCCUUGUCAUUAGUUGCUACGCAAGAGCACUCUAAUGAGACUGCCGGUGACAAACCGGAGGAAGGUGGGGAUGACGUCAAGUCCUCAUGGCCCUUAUGGGUAGGGCUUCACACGUCAUACAAUGGUCGGGACAGAGGGUCGCCAACCCGCGAGGGGGAGCCAAUCUCAGAAACCCGAUCGUAGUCCGGAUCGCAGUCUGCAACUCGACUGCGUGAAGUCGGAAUCGCUAGUAAUCGCGGAUCAGAAUGUCGCGGUGAAUACGUUCCCGGGUCUUGUACACACCGCCCGUCACACCAUGGGGAGUGGGUUUCACCAGAAGUAGGUAGCCUAACCGUAAGGAGGGCGCUUACCACGGUGGGAUUCAUGACUGGGUGAGCACAAGGAGGGGGGGGAAGCACACACCAAAAAAAAAAAAAAACCCCCCAUUUUUAAUUUCGCCCCAUGGGGCGUGAGCGAGACCCCCCGGAAGGGGG